rnacentral:rRNA from 1 species
GUGGAGCUAAUCCCAGAAAAUGCAUCGUAGUCCGGAUCGUAGUCUGCAACUCGACUGCGUGAAGUCGGAAUCGCUAGUAAUCGCGGAUCAGCUUGCCGCGGUGAAUACGUUCCCGGGUCUUGUACACACCGCCCGUCACACCAUGGAAGCUGGUUAUGCCCGAAGUCGUUACUCUAACCGUUUGGAGGAGGGCGCCUAAGGUAGAAUUAGUGACUGGGGUGAAGUCGAAACAAGGUAACCGUACUGGGUGCGGUUGGAUCACC